UACGUAGGGGGCAAGCGUUGUCCGGAUUUAUUGGGCGUAAAGAGCGUGUAGGCGGCUUUGCAAGUCCGUUGUGAAAACUCGAGGCUCAACCUCGAGACGCCGGUGGAAACUGCAAAGCUAGAGUCCGGAAGAGGAGAGUGGAAUUCCUGGUGUAGCGGUGAAAUGCGCAGAUAUCGGGAGGAAUACCAGUGGCGAAGGCGGCUUCUUGGCCUGUUCUUGACGCUGAGGCGCGAAAGCUGGGGGAGCAAACGGG
rnacentral:rRNA from 1 species